GAACCGGCGAGUUACGAUUUGUUGCAAGGUUAAGCGGAAAAAGCGGAGCCGUAGCGAAAGCGAGUCUGAAUAGGGCGCAUGAGUAACAGGUCGUAGACCCGAAACCAGGUGAUCUACCCAUGUCCAGGAUGAAGGUGAGGUAAUACUCACUGGAGGUCCGAACCCACGCACGUUGAAAAGUGCGGGGAUGAGGUGUGGGUAGCGGAGAAAUUCCAAUCGAACCUGGAGAUAGCUGGUUCUCUCCGAAAUAGCUUUAGGGCUAGCCUCGAGGUAAAGAGUCGUGGAGGUAGAGCACUGUUUGGACUAGGGGCCCUUCUCGGGUUACCGAAUUCAGAUAAACUCCGAAUGCCAUGUACUUAUACUCGGGAGUCAGACUGCGAGUGAUAAGAUCCGUAGUCGAAAGGGAAACAGCCCAGACCACCAGUUAAGGUCCCAAAAUAUAUGUUAAGUGGAAAAGGAUGUGGGGUUGCAUAGACAACCAGGAUGUUGGCUUAGAAGCAGCCACCAUUGAAAGAGUGCGUAAUAGCUCACUGGUCGAGUGACCCCGCGCCGAAAAUGUACCGGGGCUAAACAUAUUACCGAAACUGUGGAUGAACCUCUUCGGAGGUUCGUGGUAGGAGAGCGUUCUAAGGGCGGUGAAGUCAGACCGGAAGGACUGGUGGAGCGCUUAGAAGUGAGAAUGCCGGUAUGAGUAGCGAAAGAAGGGUGAGAAUCCCUUCCACCGAAUAUCUAAGGUUUCCUGAGGAAGGCUCGUCCGCUCAGGGUUAGUCGGGACCUAAGCUGAGGCCGAUAGGCGUAGGCGAUGGACAACAGGUAGAUAUUCCUGUACCAGUGCUAGUUGUUUGAGCAAUGGGGUGACACAGAAGGAUAGGGAAUCGCACAGAUGGAAACGUGCGUCCAAGCAGUGAGUGUGAGAAGUAGGCAAAUCCGCUUCUCGCGAAGCAUGAGCUGUGAUGGGGAAGGAAAUUAAGUACGGAAGUUCCUGAUUUCACGCUGUCAAGAAAAGCCUCUAGUUAGAUUAGUACUGCCCGUACCGCAAACCGACACAGGUAGAUGAGGAGAGAAUCCUAAGGUGAGCGAGAGAACUCUCGUUAAG
rnacentral:rRNA from 1 species